AGUUUUGUGGUUGCUGUUAGCACAGCAUUGAAAGGGAAUCCGGUGAGAAUCCGGAACAGUCACCUCUACUGUGAUGCGGACGAUGAAAUCAUAACCAUUGGCACUGCCGAGAAGGGAUUUCGGAGGAGGAAGCAAAGUCAGGAGACCUGCCAUUAUAUUUUA
rnacentral:ncRNA from 1 species